rnacentral:rRNA from 1 species
UAGUGGCGAACGGGUGAGUAACACGUGGGCAAUCUGCCCUGCACUCUGGGACAAGCCCUGGAAACGGGGUCUAAUACCGGAUACUGACCCUCGCAGGCAUCUGCGAGGUUCGAAAGCUCCGGCGGUGCAGGAUGAGCCCGCGGCCUAUCAGCUUGUUGGUGAGGUAAUGGCUCACCAAGGCGACGACGGGUAGCCGGCCUGAGAGGGCGACCGGCCACACUGGGACUGAGACACGGCCCAGACUCCUACGGGAGGCAGCAGUGGGGAAUAUUGCACAAUGGGCGAAAGCCUGAUGCAGCGACGCCGCGUGAGGGAUGACGGCCUUCGGGUUGUAAACCUCUUUCAGCAGGGAAGAAGCGAAAGUGACGGUACCUGCAGAAGAAGCGCCGGCUAACUACGUGCCAGCAGCCGCGGUAAUACGUAGGGCGCAAGCGUUGUCCGGAAUUAUUGGGCGUAAAGAGCUCGUAGGCGGCUUGUCACGUCGGUUGUGAAAGCCCGGGGCUUAACCCCGGGUCUGCAGUCGA